rnacentral:tRNA from 1 species
GCCCCCUUAGCUCAGUGGUAGAGCAGCUCACUCGUAAUGAGCAGGUCGUCGGUUCGAUUCCGACAGGGGGCUC